rnacentral:rRNA from 1 species
GAUGAACGCUGGCGGCGUGCCUAACACAUGCAAGUCGAACGAAGCACUGAAAACGGAGAUUCGUCGAAGUUUUCUUUGACUCAGUGGCGGACGGGUGAGUAAUGCGUGAGCAACCUGCCUUUCAGAGGGGGACAACAGUUGGAAACGACUGCUAAUACCGCAUAACAUAUUCGGAUCGCAUGGUCUGAAUAUCAAAGAUUUAUCGCUGAAAGAUGGGCUCACGUCUGAUUAGCUAGUUGGUGAGGUAACGGCUCACCAAGGCUGCGAUCAGUAGCCGGACUGAGAGGUUGAACGGCCACAUUGGGACUGAGAUACGGCCCAGACUCCUACGGGAGGCAGCAGUGGGAAUAUUGGGCAAUGGGCGAAAGCCUGACCCAGCAACGCCGCGUGAAGGAAGAAGGCC